AUGAAGGCGGUACCACCUCGCCAGUGCUGCGGUACAGAGAUAGUAUGAUGAAGGCUCCUGGUGGGCAACAGUCUGUCAUUGCUAAACAUGACAUUUCGCCGUUCCAUAGGUCGUCGAGCUUUUCUACAAGCAUCUUACGGGCGUAUUUUCGAUUCUCAUGGAGCAGCCGUGAUUGGUGGCAGCGUACGAUGGUAUCUGUUAAAUCAAAACAGAUUGCUUGUGGGCUGAUACGGAGGACCCGUCCCCUUGACGAACUGUUCCUCUAACUCAUCUUCAUUCAGCACUGGAACCCGAGACCUGCAUUGGUUUUUCAAUUUUUAAUUGUCUUUUCAGAUAAAAAUUGUCACAAAUAACAAAAUUUGGAACACUUUUUGACAUAUUACAAAAUCUGUGAUUAAAAAGCGCAUUUUAUACAACUUUAUCAAAGAAUACCUAACUAAAGCGAUUUAAAUAUAUUAUAUGAUUGAAAAAAAAUCCAAAAUUAUCGUCUUGUACCUGGGUAUUGAUGUUAUAAGAUCUUGGGUUUCAAAAAAACAAGUUGUCGUAUACUUUAUUCAUUUUUCUCGUUGUUGACAAGUGACUAUCGUUAACUGCUGACUACUGGAGUAGGCACUUAAUUUAAUAAAAAAAGAAAGCAGUAUAUGUAUGGUCUAUUGAUUCGUAUAC